rnacentral:rRNA from 1 species
UCUACCCUAAUCUGGGAAAUAACCCCGCGAAAGCGGGGAUAAUAUCCCAUGUGCUCUUCGGAGUAAAGCUUUUGCGGAUUAGGAGGAGCCUGCGUCCUAUCAGCUUGUUGGUGAGGUAAAGGCUCACCAAGGCAAUGACGGGUAGGGGGCGUGAGAGCGUGACCCCCCACAAUGGCACUGAGACACGGGCCAUACACCUACGGGUGGCAGCAGCUGGGAAUAGUCCGCAAUGGACGAAAGUCUGACGUCGUGACGCCGCGUGAAGGAAGAAGGCCUUCGGGCUGUAAACUUCUUUUCUAUGGGAUGAUUAUGACAUUACCUUAGGAAUAAGCCCUGGCUAAUUACGUGCCAGAAGCCUCGGUAAUACGUAAGGGGCGAGCGUUAUCCGGAAUGACUGGGCGUAAAGGGCGCGUAGGCGGUUUUUUAAGUCCAAUCUAAAAUCUCAUGGCCUAACCAUGAAACUGGGUUGGAUACUGUUAAGCUUGAACACUUGCAGGGGCGAGCGGAAUCUACG